GCCUUGCUGCAGAACAAUACUGUGUGUCCUUUACUGUUUGCUUCACAGAGAAUUCUGACAUUUCAGAAGACUCCACCUAUUAAAUUUGGCGUGGAAUAAUCACACAGGGAAGAUUAAACACACAGGCAGCACCAGAAGAAAGGUCAGCUGGUGGUCAGCAUCGUGCUUCACUUAUUUGUCAGCACAGAGCUGAAUGUUUCCAGAAAGUGGACAUUUGUACCCUGAGGAGCAUUGUUAAGGAGUUUCCACGGAAAACAAGUGUCAAAAGCAUGAAGAAAUACAUGCAGGAGACAGAAAAGGAUAAGAAACAAAGGAAUCUGAAGUCAGGCUCAGUGGUGACAUAGCUACAUCUCCAGCUGUGUGAUGACAGAUGGGUAAGCUGGCGUCUCUGCAGAGGUUAUACAGAUCAGGCUAGAAAAAGGCAACUUUCCAACCUUACCUUUUGUGCUGCAUGGAAACCUGUUAAAUACCAGACCCAUAAAAACCUAAUGAUAAUGGAAAACUGGAAUUACAGGCAUAAAGUCAUUUGGCAGAACAUUGCUUUCAAGAACAGUAAUACCAGGAGCGGUGAUAUCUCUGACUGCGGGUUGUUGGAUUGCAACAUUUUCCCUGUUCCGGUUAGUCCUGAUAGGAACUGUAAAAGGAGGUGGAUGAAACCUGGUGACUUUGCCCUGCUGGACUCAUUUCACUUAAUGAUUAUUGCUCAAUGUGAUCAGAGAGAAAACAUAAACGGAACUUUCUUCACUCAGGGGAAAUGAAACUUCAGAUACAUAGGAUAAUUUAAAGCACCUGUAGGUACUCUUCUGCAUAAUUGUAAGCUUUCAGCUGGUGAAAACUGGAGACCUCUAGCACACUUUUGCUAGCUAAACACAGUGGAUUUGCCUGAGCUGGUACCGUUUCCCAAGGUUUAUUUUUCAUUACUCUGCAGUAAUGGUGCCGAUGCCUCAUUUGCAGCUGCUCCCGAAGAGCCCAGCUGCCCGGCUGGAUGCAGGGAGGAUGCUGCGGCCAGCUGCCUUCCUCCUCAGCUGUGAGCACCGGACGUCUUCCAUGCUGGAAGCACUGCUUGCUCACUGGUCUCUUCAAGUAUUUCAGGGAAGCAAGCCUAGCGAUAAGGCCGAGCAGAUAAAGGACAGUAGCUCUGUGUUCUUCUGUCCUUCCCUGAUUAAUUUAUUGGUCCUGGGGAAAGCACCAAGCAGGAAUGUUUUGUCCUCACCUGCCUGCACUGCAGUGACCUCACCUUCCUGCCUGCUGGGAAGGGUAUAUGGUAAGAUCCCAUUUAUGUCUGGCUUUUUUUUUUUUUUUUUUUUUUCCCAUUUAGCAGACUGUAGAUAAGGUCCUAACAUGCCAAUACCUUUGUCACCUAAUUUCUUCCUUUCCAAACAGCAAAGUCCCCUCAGCUGCUGCCAGGGGUAUAGUAUUUCCAGAGGGUUCCCAACGCUGCCAAGCCUGCAGCGACUUCAGUGUUGUAGGAACAGCCAAGGAAAUAAAUAUCAGGGACAGGAACCUGCUUCGGUAGUGCAAGUGCUGGCUCGCGACAGCGUGUUUAUGCAUUAAAAGCCCUGCCUGCACAAACGCUGCUGACACUGAGGUGAACGGCUGCCUCGUGUGGUGCCUGGCCUAGGUGGGCUGCAGAAAGCACACCAGGUGAAGCCGCAGCGAGCAGCCGAGUGCCAAGCUGACCCCGCAUCCAGCCGUUUCGCUGCUGCCAGUCUGCAGAGCAGCCGAGAGGCUUGUGAGGCUGAAGGCUAGGUGCUUUGUUCAAAUAUAUCACCGCUUCCUGCAAGCCUAGAUGAGAAAACGCCCUCAUUGUUCUAUCAAGAUCAAGGAGAUUUGGCACUCAGGCAAGAGCUGCUGAGAGAAACUAGAAGUGACGGUGGAAUUCCCCAGCCCCGUUUGUGGUAAACAACCUCUCCUUUGCCCGGGCCUGGCACGGCUGGGGGAGAGGCUUGUGCUGCUGCUGCCAGGUCCUGCAGGCAGCAGAGCUCAGCACUGCUGGUCUCCAGCGUUUGCUGCUGUUGUUGCUUUUUAAACUUCCCUUCUUCCCAUGCCGUGACGAUCCCAGGAUCCCAAGACAGACAGCGAUGUUACUCACGGGAAGGAUUAGGUAUUAACAGGAAAAGCACCUUCUGUCUUAACUUGUUUUUCAUCUGGAAAACUAAGAAAAAAUUGUUACAGAUCCUGGUACACAUUAGCUUUUAAUGAUUUCUGUGCCUCACCUUGUUUAGAAAGACAGUUUUGCUCCCAGUUGCAGCUCUGGACGCUGAGUUACACUGGGUCAAGCCGAGGUAGAUGCCUGCAAGUGGAGUCCUGCCAACACAGAAUUGGAGCUGAGUUAACCCAGUUGCCCUUCAUUGA